rnacentral:rRNA from 1 species
GAUGAACGCUGGCGGCGUGCCUAAUACAUGCAAGUCGAGCGAACAGACGAGAGUGCUUGCACUCUCUGACGUUAGCGGCGGACGGGUGAGUAACACGUGGGUAACCUACCUAUAAGACUGGGAUAACUUCGGGAAACCGGAGCUAAUACCGGAUAAUAUUUAGCUUCGCAUGAAGCAAUAGUGAAAGACGGUUCUGCUGUCACUUAUAGAUGGACCCGCGGUGUAUUAGCUAGUUGGUGAGGUAACGGCUCACCAAGGCAACGAUACAUAGCCGACCUGAGAGGUUGAUCGGCCACACUGGGACUGAGACACGGCCCAGACUCCUACGGGAGGCAGCAGUAGGGAAUCUUCCGCAAUGGACGAAAGUCUGACGGAGCAAUGCCGCGUGAGUGAAGAAGGUGUUCGGAUCGUAAAACUCUGUUGUAAGGGAAGAACAAGUACGUUAGUAACUGAACGUACCUUGACGGUACCUUACCAGAAAGCCACGGCUAACUACGUG